rnacentral:rRNA from 1 species
AGGGAUCGGACGAUGUUAUAUUUGACUCGUUCGGCACCUUACACGAAAGUAAAGUCUCUGGGGUUCUGGGGGGAGUAUGGUCGCAAGGCUGAAACUUAAAGAAAUUGACGGAAGGGCACCACCAGGGGUAAACGUCCGCAGACUCUGCCCCUAAUAGCAGCCCAGCGUAUGGGUCAAGUGGUGUGCCUUGGCUACUUAUUCGAGGCCGAAAAUUGCUAGCCUGCUUACUGCAGGCGACACCUUCAAACUGACGGGGAACCCCUAAAGCUUCCAGCGACCAAGCGGCGGUCGAAAGACGCGUCCGUGGCCAGACUAAUCACCUGGGUAUGGUAAAACCGCUGGAAGAUGUACCAAUGGGCAAUCCGCAGCCAAGCUCCUAACCGGCGUCACCGCCGCACGGAGAAGGUUCAGAGACUUGACGGAGGUGGGUUCGUACCGCUCAGUACGAGCUUAAGAUAAAGUCCACGGUACAGGUUAACGCCUGCUACUUAGGUAAACCCUAAUAAACGGGAGCCUGCGGCUUAAUUUGACUCAACACGG